rnacentral:rRNA from 1 species
UAGGGAAUAUUGGACAAUGGGUGCGAGCCUGAUCCAGCCAUGCCGCGUGCAGGAAGAAGGCCUUCUGGGUUGUAAACUGCUUUUGCCAGGGGAUAAAACGUCUCUGCGGAGAUAAUUGAAGGUACCUGGUGAAUAAGCCACGGCUAACUACGUGCCAGCCGCCGCGGUAAUACGUAGGUGGCAAGCGUUGUCCGGAUUUAUUGGGUUUAAAGGGUGCGUAGGCGGUCCUAUAAGUCAGUGCUGAAAUAUCCCGGCUUAACCGGGAGGGUGGCAUUGAUACUGUAGGACUUGAGUAAAGUUGAGGUAAGCGGAAUUGACGGUGUAGCGGUGAAAUGCUUAGAUAUCGUCAAGAACACCUAUUGCGAAGGCAGCUUACUAAGCUUUAACUGACGCUGAGGCACGAAAGUGUGGGGAUCAAA